UAUAGGUUCAAAUGUCCGAAAGAUAAACUUCUUGUUUUUAAUAAAGUACCAAAAAAUUAAUAAGAUUUGUUUUUUUUGUGUACAAAUAAAAAUUUAAAAAAUUCUCAUUUGAAAGUUCAAAACAGAAUCUAACGCUUUUUCAAAAAUAUCUGGUUUGUAUGCGGAAACAGAAAGGGGAUCAAAAAUGAAAAAGGAACUAAGAAAUUAACUAGUUCCAUUGGAACUAAAACGAUCGAUUACUAAACUGAAGUAAAAUUCGCACCUCUACAUAGAUAUGACAUUUGCGUUAAACUUUUCGCUUUGCUGUUUUAACUGCUGGAAUAUUGAAAGAAUAUUACCGCUGACCAGACCAAUCACAUUUGCAACGAUAGCACCAAAAGAUUCUGCUAGUAGAUUAUAGUAGUAAGCUGCUUCAGUUGAGGGAAUUGUGACGAAAUUCGACUCGGAAAUAACAAUGGAUUUUUAAAAUCAUAAAAAAUCAAAAUAUUUUCGGCAAAGUCAUAUGGUUUGCAGACUGAAAUGUAAAAAAUUGAUGUUUAUGGCAGCAGUGGACAUUUUUUCAAAUAAUAAAAAAAAUAAAUUAAAGUAAUUACCAGCUGUUUAAAACCCACCCUAAA